AACGAACGCUGGCGGCAUGCCUAACACAUGCAAGUCGAACGGGAUCCUGGCUUCGGUCAGGUGAGAGUGGCGGACGGGUGAGUAACGCGUGGGAACCUGCCCAGUGGUGGGGGAUAACUGCGGGAAACUGCAGCUAAUACCGCAUGAGCCCGAGAGGGGGAAAGAUUUAUCGCCAUUGGAGGGGCCCGCGUUCGAUUAGGUAGUUGGUGAGGUAACGGCUCACCAAGCCGACGAUCGAUAGCUGGCCUGAGAGGAUGAUCAGCCACACUGGGACUGAGAUACGGCCCAGACUCCUACGGGAGGCAGCAGUGGGGAAUAUUGGACAAUGGGGGCAACCCUGAUCCAGCAAUGCCGCGUGAGUGAUGAAGGCCUUCGGGUUGUAAAGCUCUUUUGGCGGGGACGAUGAUGAGGUACCCGCAGAAUAAGACCCCGGCUAACUUCGUGCCAGCAGCCGCGGUAAU
rnacentral:rRNA from 1 species